GUGGGGAAUCUUCCGCAAUGGACGAAAGUCUGACGGAGCAACGCCGCGUGAGUGAAGAAGGUUUUCGGAUCGUAAACCUCUUUCGUUAGGGACGAACGUGCUCUUUGUGAAUAAUGAGGAGUAAUGACGGUACCUAAAUAAGAAGCCACGGCUAACUACGUGCCAGCAGCCGCGGUAAUACGUAGGUGGCAAGCGUUGUCCGGAAUUAUUGGGCGUAAAGCGCGCGCAGGCGGGAUAUCAAGUCUGUCUUAAAAGUGCGAGGCUCAACCUCGUGAGGGGACAGAAACUGGUAUUCUUGAGUGUCGGAGAGGAAAGUGGAAUUCCAAGUGUAGCGGUGAAAUGCGUAGAGAUUUGGAAGAACACCAGUGGCGAAGGCGACUUUCUGGACGAUGUCUGACGCUGAGGCGCGAAAGCUAGGGGAGCGAACGGGAUUAGAAACCCCGGUAGUCC
rnacentral:rRNA from 1 species